UACGUAGGUGGCAAGCGUUGUCCGGAAUUACUGGGCGUAAAGCGUGCGCAGGCGGCUUUGCAAGACAGAUGUGAAAUCCCCGGGCUUAACCUGGGAACUGCAUUUGUGACUGCAUGGCUGGAGUGCGGCAGAGGGGGAUGGAAUUCCGGCGUGUAGCAGUGAAAUGCGUAGAUAUGCGGAGGAACACCGAUGGCGAAGGCAAUCCCCUGGGCCUGCACUGACGCUCAUGCACGAAAGCGUGGGGAGCAAACAGG
rnacentral:rRNA from 1 species